UGGGGAAUUUUGGACAAUGGGCGAAAGCCUGAUCCAGCAAUGCCGCGUGUGUGAAGAAGGCCUUCGGGUUGUAAAGCACUUUUGUCCGGAAAGAAAUCCUCUGGGUUAAUACCUCGGGGGGAUGACGGUACCGGAAGAAUAAGCACCGGCUAACUACGUGCCAGCAGCCGCGGUAAUACGUAGGGUGCAAGCGUUAAUCGGAAUUACUGGGCGUAAAGCGUGCGCAGGCGGUUUUGUAAGACGGAUGUGAAAUCCCCGGGCUUAACCUGGGAACUGCAUUCGUGACUGCAAGGCUAGAGUAUGGCAGAGGGGGGUAGAAUUCCACGUGUAGCAGUGAAAUGCGUAGAGAUGUGGAGGAAUACCGAUGGCGAAGGCAGCCCCCUGGGCCAAUACUGACGCUCAUGCACGAAAGCGUGGGGAGCAAACAGGAUUAGAUACCCUGGUAGUCCACGCCCUAAACGAUGUCAACUAGUUGUUGGGGAUUCAUUUCCUUAGUAACGUAGCUAACGCGUGAAGUUGACCGCCUGGGGGAGUACGGUCGCAAGAUU
rnacentral:rRNA from 1 species